rnacentral:rRNA from 1 species
UACGAAGGGGGCUAGCGUUGCUCGGAAUUACUGGGCGUAAAGCGCACGUAGGUGGCUUCUUAAGUCGGGGGUGAAAUCCUGGAGCUCAACUCCAGAACUGCCUUCGAUACUGGGAAGCUCGAGUUCGGGAGAGGUGAGUGGAACUGCGAGUGUAGAGGUGAAAUUCGUAGAUAUUCGCAAGAACACCAGUGGCGAAGGCGGCUCACUGGCCCGAUACUGACGCUGAGGUGCGAAAGCGUGGGGAGCAAACAGG